CAGUCGCCGCGGUAAUACAGAGGGUGCAAGCGUUAAUCGGAAUUACUGGGCGUAAAGCGCGCGUAGGUGGUUUGUUAAGUUGGAUGUGAAAGCCCCGGGCUCAACCUGGGAACUGCAUCCAAAACUGGCAAGCUAGAGUACGGUAGAGGGUGGUGGAAUUUCCUGUGUAGCGGUGAAAUGCGUAGAUAUAGGAAGGAACACCAGUGGCGAAGGCGACCACCUGGACCGAUACUGACACUGAGGUGCGAAAGCGUGGGGAGCAAACAGGAUUAGAUACCCCCGUAGUCCCUGUCUCUUAUAC
rnacentral:rRNA from 1 species